AGACCACCAGCUAAGGUCCCAAAAUAUAUGUUAAGUGGAAAAGGAUGUGGCGUUGCCCAGACAACUAGGAUGUUGGCUUAGAAGCAGCCAUCAUUUAAAGAGUGCGUAAUAGCUCACUAGUCGAGUGACACUGCGCCGAAAAUGUACCGGGGCUAAACAUAUUACCGAAGCUGUGGAUUGUCCUUUGGACAAUGGUAGGAGAGCGUUCUAAGGGCGUUGAAGCAUGAUCGUAAGGACAUGUGGAGCGCUUAGAAGUGAGAAUGCCGGUGUGAGUAGCGAAAGACGGGUGAGAAUCCCGUCCACCGAUUGACUAAGGUUUCCAGAGGAAGGCUCGUCCGCUCUGGGUUAGUCGGGUCCUAAGCUGAGGCCGACAGGCGUAGGCGAUGGAUAACAGGUUGAUAUUCCUGUACCACCUAUAAUCGUUUUAAUCGAUGGGGGGACGCAGUAGGAUAGGCGAAGCGUGCGAUUGGAUUGCACGUCUAAGCAGUAAGGCUGAGUAUUAGGCAAAUCCGGUACUCAUUAAGGCUGAGCUGUGAUGGGGAGAAGACAUUGUGUCUUCGAGUCGUUGAUUUCACACUGCCGAGAAAAGCCUCUAGAUAGAAAAUAGGUGCCCGUACCGCAAACCGACACAG
rnacentral:rRNA from 1 species